rnacentral:lncRNA from 1 species
AGAUUAAGAACUAAGGCUGUGAGCAGGGAAAUACCUUGCCCAAGGCUACAUUGCUGAUUUUACAGACUGGAGAAUUGAGGCCCAGAAUGUCUAACCCUGCCAGAGCCAAAGAGCAAGAAGGAGUCAACUUCAAUUCCAUGUCUUUGCCAGCUGGAGAGGCCCAUGGGACAAGGAACUGAGGGAGGCCAUCCACCAUUGCAAUGAAGGAACAGAGGCCCUCAGCCCAGUCACCCUGGAGGGACUGAAUUCCAACAACAACUAUGAGUGAGCCCAGAAUUGGAGCCUUCAGAUGAGACCACAACCCUGGCUAACACCUUGAUUGCAGCUUUGUGAGAGAUCCUAAGCCAGAGGCCCCCAGCUA